GACGAACGCUGGCGGCGUGCUUAACACAUGCAAGUCGAACGGUAAGGCUCCAGCUUGCUGGGGUACACGAGUGGCGAACGGGUGAGUAACACGUGGGUGACCUGCCCUGCACUUCGGGAUAAGCCUGGGAAACUGGGUCUAAUACCGGAUAGGACUGCACCGUGAGGGUGUGGUGGAAAGUUUUUUCGGUGUGGGAUGGGCCCGCGGCCUAUCAGCUUGUUGGUGGGGUAAUGGCCUACCAAGGCGGCGACGGGUAGCCGGCCUGAGAGGGUGGACGGCCACAUUGGGACUGAGACACGGCCCAGACUCCUACGGGAGGCAGCAGUGGGGAAUAUUGCACAAUGGGCGGAAGCCUGAUGCAGCGACGCCGCGUGGGGGAUGACGGCCUUCGGGUUGUAAACUCCUUUCACCAUCGACGAAGGGUUUCUGACGGUAGAUGGAGAAGAAGCACCGGCUAACUACGUGCCAGCAGCCGCGGUAAUACGUAGGGUGCGAGCGUUGUCCGGAAUUACUGGGCGUAAAGAGCUCGUAGGUGGUUUGUCGCGUCGUCUGUGAAAUUCCGGGGCUUAACUCCGGGCGUGCAGGCGAUACGGGCAUAACUUGAGUACUGUAGGGGAGACCGGAAUUCCUGGUGUAGCGGUGAAAUGCGCAGAUAUCAGGAGGAACACCGGUGGCGAAGGCGGGUCUCUGGGCAGUAACUGACGCUGAGGAGCGAAAGCAUGGGGAGCGAACAGGAUUAGAUACCCUGGUAGUCCAUGCCGUAAACGGUGGGCGCUAGGUGUGGGUUUCCUUCCACGGGAUCCGUGCCGUAGCUAACGCAUUAAGCGCCCCGCCUGGGGAGUACGGCCGCAAGGCUAAAACUCAAAGGAAUUGACGGGGGCCCGCACAAGCGGCGGAGCAUGUGGAUUAAUUCGAUGCAACGCGAAGAACCUUACCUGGGCUUGACAUAUACAGGAUCGCGCCAGAGAUGGUGUUUCCCUUGUGGCUUGUAUACAGGUGGUGCAUGGUUGUCGUCAGCUCGUGUCGUGAGAUGUUGGGUUAAGUCCCGCAACGAGCGCAACCCUUGUCUUAUGUUGCCAGCACGUUGUGGUGGGGACUCGUAAGAAACUGCCGGGGUUAACUCGGAGGAAGGUGGGGAUGACGUCAAAUCAUCAUGCCCCUCAUGUCCAGGGCUUCACACAUGCUACAAUGGUCGGUACAGUGGGUUGCCAGUCCGUGAGGGCGAGCUAAUCCCGCAAAGCCGGUCUCAGUUCGGAUCGGGGUCUGCAACUCGACCCCGUGAAGUCGGAGUCGCUAGUAAUCGCAGAUCAGCAACGCUGCGGUGAAUACGUUCCCGGGCCU
rnacentral:rRNA from 1 species